UCUUUUCUUUUGAUAGGAGAGUUUUUAAAACCAGUGUUAUUUUUGUAAGUUUAAGAGAAGUUUGUGUAUUGAAUUUUUAAUAUUAAAGAGCUUUGUUAAACUUAGACUUAAGUUUAGGUCAUUUUGGGGGUUUAGCUCAGUUGGCUAGAGCAUCGGCUUUGCAAGCCGAGGGUCAAGGGUUCGAGUCCCUUAACCUCCAUUGGGCUUAUGUCCUAAAUUGUAAUUAAGUAUGUUUUUAAGCAACUUUAUUAAAGUAAUUGUUGGAAUGUGAAACAGAGGAAGUUAAAAUUUCUGGGUUAAGUUGAGAUCUGUUGAUAUUAAGAAGAAUCUCUAGAAGCAAAAGCAAGCUUUCGAUAAAACCCGAAGUUGUUUCGCUAAAGUGCAAGGAUUAAACAGGAUUGUAUUUUCCAGCAGCCUAUUUUAUAAACGAUCUGCAUUUAGUAAAUAGUUUUUAGUUAGGAAAUAAUGUAUAUUGCUAAGUGUGAUGUC
rnacentral:misc_RNA from 1 species